rnacentral:rRNA from 1 species
GCUUGUCUCAAAGAUUAAGCCAUGCAUGUCUAAGUAUAAACAAAUCUAUACUGUGAAACUGCGAAUGGCUCAUUAUAUCAGUUAUAGUUUCUUUGAUGGUUCUUACUACUUGGAUAACCGUAGUAAUUCUAGAGCUAAUACAUGCAUGAACCCCCGACUUUUGAAGGGGUGUAUUUAUUAGACUUAAGCCAAUAUUCCUUGUGUCUAUUGCGAUGAUUCAUAAUAACUGAUCGAAUCUCAAAUUUGAGAUAAAUCAUUCAAGUUUCUGCCCUAUCAGCUUUCGAUGGUAGUGUAUUGGACUACCAUGGCAGUAACGGGUAACGAAGAAUUAGGGUUCGAUUUCGGAGAGGGAGCAUGAGAAACGGCUACCACAUCUAAGGAAGGCAGCAGG